UGGUCCCGAGCCCGCGGCGCCACUCCCCGCGUGACCAGGCCGCGGACCGCGAUAGGAGCGGGCUGGCCGGGUGGGGCGGGGUCUCGCCGCCACCGCCCCUGGGCCCCGAGGCUUCCCCUGGUCUCCCGGCCGGCGAGUAGGCGGCAGCGGGAGCUGCUGCCCGCCGGGCCCCGAGUGAGUGGACGCUGCGCCCCCGACCAGCGGCGGGCGAGUGGCCGCCGCCGCGCCGAGGCCGUGGAGGAAGCGCCGAGGCUCUCGGGGCUUCUGUUCCGUCACCGCGGACGCCUCCCCCUCCCUCGGGGACCCGCCUGGCUGACGAACUGCCCCGCACCUGCCCACCGGGCGAGGCGGGCGGGUGGGGGAGGCCCCGAGAGGGCCAGGUAGGAAAAGGCUCCGGGUCUAGACCCCCGACCAGCAGGGUGGGGUGAGCCCCUGGGGCAGGGGCGUGGCCCGGCGCGAACAGGCCGGUGAGCGUCGCUCCCGGCAAGGAAGGAGAGGGCGGGUGGGCUUGAGGCCGUCUGGCCGCCGGACUUAUCUAUGAAGCACUCUCGUUUCCAAGUGGGAGGCUUAAGGAAAUGGUCUUUCUGCCGGCCAGAGAUAGCUUUUCCACGUCCUGCCAACCGCCGAAAUGUCUCCAGAGGAGCAUCGAUCCAGUAGUUCCUCUCUCAAGCCACACAUCGAGGUGGAAUCUCACGGCUGCAGACUUUCCGUGGUACUGCGGUACCGUCUCUAGGCUUUGGGUCAAGAUGCUGCCCCGUCUUGGUGACUGUUUCGUUGUUGUUGUUGUUGACAGCGUCGUCCUUACUUCAAAGUUCUCGGGCCAAAUGCCCUGAACGUGGGUGGGCGGAAUCAGAUCAUUUUCACUCAGCACCAGUCACGUGGCACCAAUACAGUAACUUCAGUAUUACCGGCUUCUCUUCUCUUGGGACUUGCCAGAGUUUUACUUUGGUCUGUAUCUUCCUCAGCUUACAAAUGUGAGGGGAAAGACAGUUCAUUUAUGUCUACAGCAAUUGAAAGGUACUGUGGGUCUGUUCAAAUCACCAUCAUGCAAAAUGCUAACCAAAGCCCCAUAAGAGUACUUUGGAACAGCUGGGCUCAGCCUCCCUGGACCAGUUUCCUCACUUGUGAAAUGAAGAAGCUGAAUUACAAGUUCUCUUAGGUUCUUCCAGCUCAAAAUUCUUAAGAUUCUACGACUUUUAUAAGAUAAGGAGACUUGGAUGCAAAUGGUAAACUGAAUUGCCACCCUACGAAGUGGCAAGUCUCCAGUUAGGACCCUGGACUCCUGAUUCACGUUGCCGGAUCCCAAUCUGGAUACCAUUAGGGGAUAAGAUACGCGACUCUCCCCAUGUCUGCUCCCUGGUUUAUCCAACCUUAAAUUGAAAAUUCCAUAUUUACUUGUAGAAUGCUUUGAGAAUACCCAAGUGAAUAUCAUUAAGAUAUGUGAUGUGUGGGCUGCUACCUUGCAUCUUUCGGAAAAAAGGUUGAGAUUCACACAUGAAACAUCUUCACAUUGAGCAUCUGAACCGAAAGAGAACUUGGAGGUCUCCAUCCACUCAUCUACUUUAAAAGUCAUAACAGAGAAAAUGAAACACUUCUGAAAUGAAAAUUAUUUUGUUUAGAACCUCACUUCCUUUCUGCAUUAGGGACAGGUGAAGCAGAAACAGAGCAGGAACCAGGAGAAAAGGAGAAAUGAAGUGAUAGGAAGAGACAUGGAGAGAAAGAUACAGCACAGAAAGAAGAUCCACCGGAAGAGACUGAGAUAGAUACAGGGAAUAAAAAGGCCAAGAUACAGCCUUCAACACAGGAAAACAGGCAUAGAGAUACGGAUCCAGAGAUUGGAAUUCACAACAAGCGAACAAGAGGAAAAGGGCUGUAAGACGUAGAGAAAGAUGAAAUGAGGCAGACAAAGAGAAAGAAAGUGACGGCCGUUAAUGGAACAUCACUCCCUUCAGGCUACCACCAGCAAAAGCCAGACAGCAUGGCAAGGAGGCAGCUUGCUCUGAGGACUCAGAGUGUGGCCAGGAGGAAGUUAGUUGCCUUCCUUUUUUUUUUCUCUUGUACUUUGCACUCAGUAAAAACACCUGAUCAACACCUUUCACUGAUACCUGCAUUUGUGUUUCCCCUCCAGACUGAAUGCUCCUGAUGGGCAGGUGGGGCCUCUCUAUCCAGGAGGCAGCCAUGGCAUUCAGCUCCAGGGUUAGGAGUAGAGGACCUGAGCGCCCGUUUUGGCUCUGCUACUCAGAAGCUGUGUGACAUGGAGAAAACUACCUACCCUUCCCUGUAAAUGGGAGUUCCUCUACCUAACUCACAGGGUGGCUGUGAGAAUUAGGUGAGAUCUUUUCAAAAAUACAUGUAAACUAUAUGCAGGGCAGGGACUUCCCUGGCGGUCCAGUGGUUAAGACUCCACACUUCCACUGCAGGGGGCGCAGGUUCGAUCCCUGGACCAGGAACUAAGAUCCCACAUGCCACUUGGCG